CCUACGGGAGGCAGCAGUGGGGAAUAUUGCGCAAUGGGGGCAACCCUGACGCAGCAACGCCGCGUGAUUGAAGAAGGCCUUCGGGUUGUAAAGAUCUUUAAUUGGGGACGAAACAAAUGACGGUACCCAAAGAAUAAGCUCAGGCUAACUACGUGCCAGCAGCCGCGGUAAUACGUAGGGAGCAAGCGUUAUCCGGAUUUACUGGGUGUAAAGGGCGAGUAGGCGGGCUGGCAAGUUGGGAGUGAAAUCCCGGGGCUUAACCCCGGAACUGCUUUCAAAACUGCUGGUCUUGAGUGAUGGAGAGGCAGGCGGAAUUCCUGGUGUAGCGGUGAAAUGCGUAGAGAUUAGGAGGAAUACCAGUGGCGAAGGCGGCUUACUGGACUGCAACUGACGUUGAGGCGCGAAAGCGUGGGGAGCAAACAGGAUUAGAUACCCCUGUAGUC
rnacentral:rRNA from 1 species